GACGAACGCUGGCGGCGUGCCUAAUACAUGCAAGUAGAACGCACAGUUUAUACCGUAGCUUGCUCCACCAUAGACUGUGAGUUGCGAACGGGUGAGUAACGCGUAGGUAACCUGCCUGGUAGCGGGGGAUAACUAUUGGAAACGAUAGCUAAUACCGCAUAAUAUUAAUUAUUGCAUGAUAAUUAAUUGAAAGGUGCAAUUGCACCACUACCAGAUGGACCUGCGUUGUAUUAGCUAGUAGGUGAGGUAACGGCUCACCUAGGCGACGAUACAUAGCCGACCUGAGAGGGUGAUCGGCCACACUGGGACGGAGACACGGCCCAGACUCCUACGGGAGGCAGCAGUAGGGAAUCUUCGGCAAUGGACGAAAGGCUGACCGAGAAACGCCGCGUGAGUGAAGAAGGUUUUCGGAUCGUAAAGCUCUGUUGUAAGAGAAGAACGGGUGUGAGAGUGGAAAGUUCACACUGUGACGGUAUCUUACCAGAAAGGGACGGCUAACUACGUG
rnacentral:rRNA from 1 species